GGUAGACGGUUGAGUAACACGUGGGAACCUACCUAGGGGUACGGAAUAACUCAGGGAAACUUGAGCUAAUACCGUAUACGACCUUCGGGUGAAAGAUUUAUCGCCCCUAGAUGGGCCCGCGUUGGAUUAGCUAGUUGGUGGGGUAAAAGCCUACCAAGGCGACGAUCCAUAGCUGGUCUGAGAGGAUGAUCAGCCACACUGGGACUGAGACACGGCCCAGACUCCUACGGGAGGCAGCAGUAGGGAAUCUUGGACAAUGGGCGAAAGCCUGAUCCAGCCAUGCCGCGUGAGUGAUGAAGGCCUUAGGGUUGUAAAGCUCUUUCGCCAGGGAAGAUAAUGACGGUACCUGGAUAAGAAGCCCCGGCAAACUUCGUGCCAGCAGCCGCGGUAAUACGAAGGGGGCUAGCGUUGUUCGGAAUUACUGGGCGUAAAGCGCACGUAGGCGGUUUUCCAAGUUGGAGGUGAAAUCCCUGGGCUCAACCCGGGAACUGCCUCCAAAACUGGAUGACUCGAGUCCGAGAGAGGUGAGUGGAAUUUCCAGUGUAGAGGUGAAAUUCGUAGAUAUUGGAAAGAACACCAGUGGCGAAGGCGGCUCACUGGCUCGGUACUGACGCUGAGGUGCGACAGCGUGGGGAGCAAACAGGAUUAGA
rnacentral:rRNA from 1 species